rnacentral:rRNA from 1 species
AGAGUUUGAUCAUGGCUCAGAAUCAGCGCUGGCGGCGCGCUUAACACAUGCAAGUCGCACGAGAAAGUGGAGCAAUCCAUGAGUAAAGUGGCGUACGGGUGAGUAACACGUGGAUCAUCUACCUCUUAGUGGGGAAUAACCCUGGGAAACCGGGGCUAAUACCGCAUAAGCCUGCAAAGGGAAAGCAGCAAUGCGCUGAGAGAGGAGUCCGCGGCCGAUUAGCUAGUUGGUAGGGUAAAGGCCUACCAAGGCAAUGAUCGGUAGCCGGCCUGAGAGGGCACACGGCCACACUGGCACUGAAACACGGGCCAGACUCCUACGGGAGGCAGCAGUGGGGAAUCUUGCACAAUGGAGGAAACUCUGAUGCAGCGACGCCGCGCGAGCGAUGAAGCCCUUCGGGGUGUAAAGCUCUUUCGACGGGAACGAUAAUGACGGUACCCGGAGAAGAAGCUGCGGCUAACUACGUGCCAGCCGCCGCGGUAAUAC